rnacentral:misc_RNA from 1 species
AGAAGACACCGUUAGUGUUAAUUAUGACGAUUUUAUAAAUGAUGUGGAUUCCGGUGACACACUACUCGUUGACGGUGGGAUGAUGUCAUUAGUUGUGAAGUCAAAAACCAGCGAUGUAGUGAAAUGUGAAGUUAUUGAUGGGGGAGAACUGAAAUCAAGACGGCAUCUAAAUGUAAGAGGAAAAAGUGCCACCCUACCUUCAAUAACAGAGAAAGACUGGGAUGAUAUUAAGUUUGGCGUGGACAAUCAAGUUGACUUCUAUGCUGUUUCCUUUGUGAAGGAUGCAAAGGUGGUCCACGAAUUGAAAGAUUACCUUAAAAGUUGUAAUGCAGAUAUUCAUGUUAUUGUAAAGAUUGAAAGUGCAGACUCCAUCCCAAAUCUCCACUCGAUCUUAACUGCAUCUGAUGGGGCGAUGGUGGCCCGUGGUGAUCUUGGAGCUGAGCUUCCAAUUGAGGAAGUCCCGCUGCUGCAGGAAGACAUUAUUAGAAGGUGUCGGAGCAUGCAAAAACCUGUAAUAGUAGCCACCAACAUGCUUGAAAGCAUGAUAGAUCAUCCAACCCCAACUAGGGCAGAAG